rnacentral:lncRNA from 1 species
GGGGGGCAAUUAGUGGGGGGGCAUUAAUGGGGGGGCAUGAACAGGGGGGGGGGGCACCAUAAUUUGCAGAGGAGGGGGCAAUAAGUGGGGGGCACCAAAUGGUCGAGAAAUGGGGUUUUUUAAUGGGAUUUUAUCUGGUUGUUUUUUGUAUAGGAACGUGAGAAGUUCGGGGGAACCUGAAAUGGUUCCACCACAUGGAACAGGUGAAGGCUCCCCGUUCCCCCCCCCCGGUGCUUCGGGAGCUGCCGCUGCUCAGACGGAACAUGGAGGAGCUGCACCAGCUGCUGGGGGGGGCACAGCAACAGGCACUGAGGCUGGGGCCAUUUUGGGCUCCUUGUGGCGGCCAUUUUGGAUGGGCUCAUUUGGCUCCGCCCCUUCUCCCACAGAGGCCGAAUUGGAGGCGGGGCUACAGCGCCGGGGGGCGGGGCUUAACCGAGCGCAUCGGCUGCUCCUAUUGGCUGAGGCAGCUGACAGUCAAAGGAAGCAGCUGAAGGCGGCACUUCCUGUCCCGCCCCCACUUCCAGGGCCGCUGGAGGCGGAGCCAGAGCUGGAGGCGGCCGUCGCCAUGGGAACAGAACCGGAAGUGCUGGAAGCAGCGUCUGCUGGCGGCAUCCAACCAGCAAUGGCUGCAGGCGGCUCAGGAGCUCCUUGGCCGCCAUUCCCCGCGCUCUGUGCUGUGGGCUCUGAGUCACAUGACCAAGGAAUCCAUCCGGGAGCUGCAGGCCCCGCCCAGGAUUGUUGGAACACAGUGGGGGGGCUUUGGGCCCUGGCCCCCCCCAUAGCGGCUCGGCUGCCCCACAUGAGACAACGACUGCGGGACAUACAGGAACAGAUGGGGGAGGAGACAAGGUCUGACCCAUAAGUGACACCCCAGCCCCAUAAGUGACCCCAUAGACCCAUAACUGCCCCCCCAGCCCCAUAACUAGCCCCCAGCCCCAUAAGUGCCCCCCCCCAGCCCCAUAAGUGACCCCAAAGACCCACAAGUGACACCCCAUACCCAUAAAGUGCCUUUCCAGCCCCAUAAGUGACCCCACCAGCCCCAUAUGUGUCCUUCCAGCCCCAUAAGUGACCCCUUCAGCCCCAUAAGUUACCCCCCAGCCCCAUAGGUGCCCUUCCAGCCCCAUAAGUGCCCCCCCCCAGCCCCAUAAGUGCCCUUCCAGCCCCAUAAGUGACCCACCAGCCCCAUAAGUGACACCUUCAGACCCAUAAGUGACACCUUCAGCCCCAUAAGUGCCCUUCAAGCCCCAUAAGUGCCUUUCCAGCCCCAUAAGUGACACCUUCAGCCCCAUAAGUGACACCUUCAGCUCCAUAAGUGACCUACAAGCCCCAUAAGUGCCUUCCCCAGCCCCAUAAGUGACCUCCCCAGCCCCAUAAGUGCCCUUCCAGCCCCAGAAGUGCCCUUCCAGCCCCAUAAGUGACCCCCCCAGCCCCAUAAGUGCCUUUCCAGCCCCAUAAGUGACCCCUUCAGCCCCAUAAGUGCCCCCCCAGGCCCCAUAAGUGACCUUCUAGCCCCAUAAGUGCCCCCUUCAGCCCCAUAAGUGACCCCCCCUGCCCCAUAAGUGCCCUUCCAGCCCCAUAAGUGCCC